UUUGAAGUUCGACAUUUUUAUACUCUCGCAACAAUUUGCUAAGGAGAGUAUUAUAGUUUUGUUCACAUAACGGUUGUUUGUAAGUCCUAAAACUAAAAGAGUCAGAUAUAGGGUUAUAUAUACCAAAGUGAUCAGGGUGACGAGUAGAGUUGAAAUCCGGAUGUAUGUCUGUCCGUCCGUCUGUCCGUCCGUCCGUCUGUGCAAGCUGUAACUUGAGUAAAAAUUGAGAAACUUGGUACACGUAUUUCUUGGCUCCAUAAGAAGGUUAAGUUCGAAGAUGGGCAAAAUCGGCGAACUGCCACGCCCACAAAAUGGCGGAAACCGAAAACCUAUAAAGUGUCAUAACUAAGCCAUAAAUAAAGAUAUUAAAGUGAUAUUUGGCACAAAGGAUCGCAUUAGGGAGGGGCAUAUUUGGACGUAAUUUUUUUGGAAAAGUGGGCGUGGCCCCGACCCCUACUAAGUUUUUUGUACAUACCUCGGAAACUACUAUAGUUAUGUCAACCAAACUCCACAGAGCCGUUUUCUUCAGGCAUUUCCAUAUACAGUUCAAAAAUGGAAGAAAUCGGAUAAUAACCACGCCCACCUCCCAUACAAAGGUUAUGUUGAAAAUCCCUAAAAGUGCGUUAACCGACUAACAAAAAACGUCAGAAACACUAAAUUUUACGGAAGAAAUGGCAGAAGGAAGCUGCACCCAUUUUUUUUUUAAAUUGAAAAUGGGCGUGGCAUCGCCCACUUAUGGACCAAAAACCAUAUCUCAGGAACUACUUUACCGAUUUCAAUGAAAUUCGGUAUAUAAUAUUUUCUUAACACCCUGAUAACAUGUACGAAAUAUGGGUGAAAUCGGUUCACAACCACGCCUUAUUCCAAUAUAACGCUAUUUUGAAUUCCAUCUGAUGCCUUCUCUGUAUAAUAUAUAGUACAUUAGGAACCAAUGAUGAUAGCGGAAUAAAACUUUACACAAAUACGGUAUUUGAGCUGAGGUAUCCCUUGUGGAAAAAUUGUCGUGAUCGGACUAUAACUUUUCAAGGUCCCUUAUAUCGAACAAGAAGAAUUCAGUGCCUAACCUAACCUAACCUAAUUUUUCACCGAAAAUAUCAGUAAAUCUCUCAGAUGUUUUCAUGUAAUUCAGAGGGCAUCAUUUUUAUAUUCUCGCAAUAAAGUUGCUAAUAACGGUAUCUCGAUUAUCACUUUAUCAUGCGAGAGUAUAAAAUGUUCGGUGACACCCGAACUUAGCCCUUCCUUACUUGUUGGUGAUAAAGUUGCAUACUUUAAAGGAGCUAUUACUGCAAAAUUUUAACCCGUUAUAUCAAUUGCUUCCUGAUUUGUGUAGGGGAAAGUGAAAGAAUCAAAUGGAGUUUUGUAUUGUGUUAUAUGGGAAGUUGGCGUGGUUGUAGUCUGAUUGAUUCCAUUUUCAAACGUUGACAUAAUAAUAUAAAAAGAAUACUACGUAGCAAAUUUAGUCGAAAUCAGUCGGUCGGGUCCCGAGAUAUGUGAUUUCAACAAAAAGUGGGCGGCAUCACGCCUAUCGUCCAAUUUUCAAACUGGGCGUCAUAAAGCCCUCGCAUACCAACUCGUCUGUAGAAUUUAAUGUCUCUGGCGAAUUCAGUUACUGAUUUAUUGCACUUUUAGUAAUUUUGAACAGUACCGUUAUAUGCGAAGUGAGAGGGGCUAUUAUCCGAUUUCAUGCAUUGUCACACUGUCGUUAAGAAUUCCUAUACAAAUUUCUAUAUAUCUACAAUAAUAACUUAAGGUUAGAUAUUUUGAUCUUUUUCUUGUAAAUGAUGAAUAUUUUCUCAGUUCUAAGAAGAUCUAAUGCUAAUAAAACAUAAAUUUUGGUUUCAUUCAAUUUGAAA